ACUUUGAUAUAUAAUAUAAAUUAUAUGUAAACUAAAAAUUUGUAACGAUCCGAAAAUCGGAUCGUUACCGGCGCUAGGAUUCAGGUCGGUUUAAGGCCGCCGGGACCCGUAGCAAGCCUGACAUACAUCCUGUGAACCUGUCAAAUCCCACACAUGAUCAAACAUACUCAUAAACCUGUAAACUUUUCCUUUCCAUAAACCAAGCUCAACCUGUGCAUACUCAUAACAUAACAUAAACCACACACUGGAGCCCUCAUUCAAUGCUCCAAUGGAGUAUAAUAACAUACAUGAAUCAAGCUUGGUUGAACAUAAACAUCAUAAAACAUUCUAUAGAUCAUGUAUCAAAAGGGAUUACUAUACAAACUCGGUCAAGCACAAUUUCUAAUCCUCAAUACAUCAUCAUUACAUAUCAUAACGGUAUAAGACAUUACAUUACAAUUUAAUCAUGUCCAUUGCUAGCUAUUACAUAACCGUGACUUUGCUCUAUACGACUUCCUGCUCUAUCCUGCACCUGCAAGCCUGGGAGUUAAAGGGAGAGGGGUGAGCUAAAAGCCCAGUGAGUAGAACCAUAAAAACAUAUUAACAAACAUGCUCCAAUGAAAUGCAUCAUAACACAGACAAUUUACAUAAGGGUUGGGUGAACUUGUCACCAAAUAGUCCCAGCAUCAUUUGUGCCAGGCCGUAGCAUGGGGUCCUGGUCUUCCUGUCAUAUCAUACAUUACUUACCAUUGCCCCAGGGCCUCUCUGGGCUCCUGGUCUUCAAGUCCCAUAUCCGUGCCAGGCCGUAGAAUGGGGUCCUGGUCUUUCAUUUUCGUGCCAGGCCGUAGAAUGGGGUCCUGGUCUUUCCUCAGGGACUAAUUGGGUCAUCCAACAUUCACCCACAUCAACAAUAAAGAAUGCAAUGCAACAUAGUCGUGAAAUCUAAUGCAAUCAUCCUAUUGCAUACUCGUGAUGCAUGAAACAUGAUAAACAUUUAAUUCCUCAAUUUAAAGGAUUAAGUUUAGUUCCACUCACCUCUGGCUGACUCUGACAAUACCGAAGCAGCUGAACUCACUGCUGGGGUCCUCGGUUCCUCGGGUCCGAACUUACACAGGUGGACUCAAAUGAGGGACCAAACAUACUAGAACAUGACUCUAAAAUACUCCCCAAAAACUCCCUAAAACACCUUAAAAUAAUCAUGCAAAACAUGCAAAGAAAGGCUGGACAGGGCACUUUCAGCGGCAGGUUCGGCGGCCGAAAGUCCCUCCAGAGCCGAAAGUCGAGCAGGUUUGGCGGCACCUUCGGCGGCCGAAACUCCCAGACAGAGGCGAAACUCAUGCAUGUUCGGCGGCACUUUCGGCGGCCGAAACUCCCAGACAGAGACGAAAGUCUCCUUUCGGGGGCAGGCUUUGGCAACCGAAGGCUGCUUCCACAAGCAUGUUCGGCGGCCGAAAGUUCCUUCGGCUGCCGAACCUGGUUUCUCCCAGAGUGGCAGAAACUCAGCUCUUCUAUGUAUAUACGCCUCCCAUUCCAUCCAAACAUGCAUAAACCUAUUCUACAACACACAUACACAAGCAUACAAGCUCCUAGGGGCCUCAAACUAUCGAAAACCCCAUCUACAACACAUCAAACAUCCACAUUGCUCAAAAACACAACAUUAACUCAAAAACUCAUAUAAACCUACACAUGCCAUUCUACCCCAUAGACCAAUAUAAAACUUGCUCAAAACAUUAAAUAAGCUCAAGAUCGACUCUUACCUCUUAAAGAUUGAGAUAGAGCGUGAACAAACUUGGAGAUUUGGAAAAACCUCGUUCCUUGGGUCUCCAAGUUUCACAACUUCGAUCUAAGCUUGAGAUCUUCAAAAACAAGUGAAAACUCAUAAGAAAAACAUGAAAACUCGAAGGGAGAAGCUCAAAACAGAGGAGGGGCGGUGGAGAACUCACCUUGGCCGAAAACGAGAGGAAAAGCUUGUCCGUUUCGGCCAUGGGGUCCUUUUAUAGGGCUGUCCUUACCACCUUUCGGCGGCCUAACGUGCCUCCACAACGCAUGCAAGUUCGGCGGCCGAACAUGAGGUUCGGCGGCCGAACCUUGGCUUAUUCAAACAAGGCUUUCGGAGGCCAAAAGCGCUCCCAAAACCUCCCCAUGUUCGGCGGCCGAACAUGACUUUCGGCGGCCGAACCUGGCAAUGUCUCCAAAGCCCUCUUCACUCAAAACUUGGAUUUAUUUUUAUUUAAAACCAUAAAAUACAUCAAGACAUUUAAUGAAAACAUGAUUUUACCCUUCUAGAGGUCUCCGACAUCCGAGAUUCCACCGGACGGUAGGAAUUCCGAUACCGGAGUCUAGCCGGGUAUUACAUUCCCCCCCCCUUAAGAACAUUCAUUCCCGAAUGUUCCUCAACUAGCACAUAGCAUGGCAUACACAUAACAUGCAUACAAAGCACAUAAAACUCAUAAGGAACUAACCUUAGAAAAGAUAAGGGUAUUGCUGGAGCAUGGACUCCCGUGUCUCCCAAGUGCAUUCUUCCAUAUUGUGGUGGUUCCAAAGGACUUUCACCAUCGGGAUUUUCUUGUUCCUCAACUUUCUGAUCUGGGUGUCUAGGAUCCGUACUGGCUGCUCAACAUAGGUGAGAUCUUCUUGGAUCUCCACAUCAGGCUCACUAAGAACCUUGCCCGGAUCUGACACGAACUUCCUCAACAUGGAAACAUGGAAAACCGGAUGGAUUCUUGCCAUUGAACCAGGUAAAUCCAGCUUGUACGACACAUUCCCAAUCUUUUGCAAGAUUUCAAAGGGUCCGAUGUAUCGUGGGGCUAGUUUACCUUUCUUCCCAAAGCGAACCACUCCUUUCAUUGGAGACACCUUGAGCAAUACCAGAUCCCCCUCUUGAAACUCUACUUGCCGUCUGCGGAUGUCUGCAUAACUUUUCUGUCUGCUUGCAGCAGUCUUGAUCCUUUCUCUGAUCAUGGGUACCACCCUGCUGGUGAUCUCUACUAGUUCAGGCCCUGCCAAGGCCUUUUCUCCAAUUUCUUCCCAGCAAACAGGUGAUCUGCACUUCCUCCCAUAUAAAGCUUCAUAUGGAGCCAUCCCGAUGCUAGCAUGAUGGCUGUUAUUGUAGGCAAACUCCACCAAGGGUAGAUGCUGCCUCCAAGAACCGCCAAAGUUCAGCACACACAUUCUAAGCAUAUCCUCUAUUGUCUGGAUGGUCCUCUCCGACUGUCCGUCCGUCUGUGGAUGGAAAGCAGUGCUAAAAUCCAACCUGGUACCCAUGGCGUUCUGCAGACUCCGCCAAAAUCUGAAGGUGAACUGGGGCCCUCUAUCGGACACUAUUGAAACAGGAACCCCAUGCAGCCUGACGAUCUCAUCAACAUACACCUGCGCCAACUUGUCCACAGAAUAGCUGCUCCUGACAGGGAUGAAGUGAGCAGAUUUGGUGAGUCUGUCCACAAUCACCCAUAUGGAGUCCACUCUGUUGGACGCUGCCGGUAACCCCACUACGAAGUCCAUAGCUAUAUUCUCCCAUUUCCAUUCUGGAAUAAGUAGCUGGUUAAGCAUUCCAGCCGGCUUCUGAUGUUCCAGCUUCACCCUCUGACAUACUUCGCAGGCUGACACGAACUGUGCCACUUCUCUCUUCAUAGCUGGCCAUCAAUAAACUUUCUUCAGAUCUUGGUACAUCUUGGUAGCUCCUGGGUGAACGUUGUAUCUUGCAUUAUGAGCCUCUCUCAUAAUGUCUCCCUUUAGCCCUAUGUCAUCUGGUAUACACAAUCGACUCCCAUAGCGGAGGAUCCCCUUGUUGUCAAAUCUGAACUCACUAUCCUUGCCUGACUGAACAGUCCUGGCAAUCUUCACUAACUCUGGGUCCUCAUGCUGUUUCUGAGCCACCUGCUCCAGAAACACGGGUGCCACUCUCAUCUGAGCAACUAAAGCACCUGUACCAGACAACUCCAACUGAAGACCUUCAUCCACGAGCUUGUAAAACUCCUUCACUACUGGCCUCCUCUCUGCCGAUAUGUGGGAUAAACUGCCUAGUGAUUUCCGGCUUAGGGCGUCUGCCACAACAUUCGCCUUACCCGGAUGAUACUGAAUCUUGCAAUCAUAAUCACUCAGCAGUUCCACCCAUCUUCUCUGUCUCAAGUUCAAAUCUCUUUGACUCAGGAUGUACUGUAGGCUUUUAUGAUCUGUGAAGAUCUCACAUUUAACCCCAUAAAGGUAGUGCCUCCACAUCUUGAGUGCAAAGAUUACUGCUGCCAUCUCAAGGUCAUGUGUGGGGUAAUUCAACUCAUGCUUCUUUAGCUGUCUAGAAGCAUAAGCAAUCACCUUCUCAUUCUGCAUUAGUACACAACCCAGUCCCACACGGGACGCAUCAUAAAAGACUGUAAAGUCUUCAUCACUAGAUGGCAGAGCUAACACUGGUGCUGAAGUCAACCUCUUCUUAAGCUCUUCAAAACUCUCUUCGCACUGGUCGGUCCACACAAACCUCUGAUUCUUCCUGGUUAACCUGGUCAAAGGAGCUGCAAUUUUUGAGAAGUUCUGGACGAACCUCCUGUAGUAACCUGCCAAACCCAAGAAACUCCUAAUCUUUGUCACUGAAGUGGGUCUAGGCCAGUUAGCCACAGCUUCUACCUUCUUGGGGUCCACCUCUAUCCCGUUCUCUGACACUACAUGCCCCAAGAAUGAAAUGCUCCUCAGCCAGAACUCACACUUAGAGAACUUGGCAUACAAGCCAUGUUCCCUCAAGGUCUGCAGAACCAAUGUCAGAUGACGGGCAUGCUCCUCUGCAUUCCUAGAAUACACUAAGAUAUCAUCUAUAAAGAUAAUAACAAAGUGAUCCAGGUAUUGGCUAAACACUCUGUUCAUGAGAUCCAUGAAUGCUGCAGGGGCGUUGGAUAACCCGAACGGCAUUACAAGGAACUCAAAAUGUCCGUAUCUAGUCCUGAAAGCUGUCUUUGGUACGUCUUCUUCUCUGAUCCUCAGCUGAUGGUACCCCGAUCUCAGAUCUAUUUUGGAGAAACAACCCGCUCCUGCUAGCUGGUCGAAUAGAUCGUCGAUCCUUGGCAAUGGGUACUUAUUCUUGGUAGUGACUUUGUUCAACUGCCUGUAGUCGAUACAAAGUCUAAGGGAUCCAUCCUUCUUUCUCACAAAUAGAACUGGAGCACCCCAAGUUGAGGUACUCGGUCGGAUGAAGCCCCUUUCUACCAGCUCUUGCAACUGUUCUUUCAAUUCCUUCAAUUCUGCUGGUGCCAUCCUGUAGGGAGGGAUAGAGAUCAGUCGGGUUCCAGGCAUCAGUUCUAUCUCGAACUCUAUCUCCCUAGCAGGUGGUAAACCUGGCAGCUCAUCUGGGAAUACAUCCAAAAACUCUCUGACCACCGGCACCGAGGCGGGCUCUCUAACCUGACUGCUAAGCUCUCUCACAUGAGCCAAAUACCCCUAACAUCCCCUCCUAAGCAACCUGCGAGCCUGAAGAGCUGAUAUCAGACCUCUAGGUGUACCCCUCCUGUCUCCCCUGAAGACGACCUCUGACCCAUCCUGACUUCUGAACCUGACUACCUUGUCCCUGCAGUCCAAGGUAGCACCAUGGGUAGAUAACCAGUCCAUCCCUAGAAUGACGUCAAAAUCUGUCAAAUCUAGAACCACCAGGUCGGCGGACAAGCAUCUUCCCUCAACAAACACAGGACUACACUGGCAGACUGACUCUGCCACUGAUGGAUCACAUUUGGGUCCACUGACCCAGAGAGGACACUUUAACCCAGAGAUCAUCAACCCCAACCUCUCAACGGCUCUUGGUGCUAUAAAAGAAUGAGAUGCACCAGGGUCUAUCAAGGCAUACACAUCUGAACAACCAAUGACUAAGUUACCUGCCACCACAGUGUUAGAUGCAUCUGCCUCCUGUUGUGUCAUUGUGAAGAUCCGUGCUGGAGUUGAUGGACCUUCACCUCUGAAACCCGCUGAAGAAGAGGCUGCCCCUCUCCCUCUGCCUCUGCCACUGGCCUGAGUCGUGGCUGGAGUUGCUGGCUGCGCUACACUACCUGAAGCUGUCUGCUGGGACUGUGCCAUCGGGACUGCUCUUGGACAUUCUCGAGCCAUAUGCCCCUCCUGACCGCAUCUGAAACAGGCUGUCGUCCCAAACCGACAUACUCCCUUGUGUGGCUUACCACACCUUGCACAAACUGCAUUAUCCGCACCAGAGCUUGAGCCACUCCCAAAUCCCUGACUGGACUUGACUUUGCUCCAGAACUUGUUCUUCUUAGUCUUGGCUUUGCCCCAUCUCUUGCUGCCUGAAGCUGCUGCACUCAGGGUAGAGGGAUCUAACCUUCCCCCACCCGGGGUUUUAGGACCAGAAGACUGUGCCACUGACUGCUUAACUGUCCCCUGAAUGAUGGCACUGGCCUCCAUUUUCCUGGCCAUAUCUACUAUGGCAUGGAAGCUCUCCCUGUCCACUGACUGAAUCAAGGAGGAAUACCUGGAAUGAAGUUUCAUGACAUACCUCCUUGACUUCUUCGAAUCUGUAUCCAGACUCUGUCCAGCAAAAGGCAACAGCUCCAAGAAUCUGUCGGUGUACUCCUCUACACUCAUUUCAUCCGUCUGCCUCAACUGCUCAAACUCUAUCAUCUUCAAUUCUCUUGAACUGUCGGGAAAAGCCCAUCCUGCAAACUCGUUUGCAAACUCCUCCCAAGACAUGUUGUCCACUCUCUGGUUCACAUAAUUCUUGAACUACUCUCGUGCCUUCUUGCACUUAAGCGUGAACCCAGCCAUCUGUAUGGCUCUACUGUCAUCAGCCCCAAUCUCAUCUGUGAUCACCUUAACCCUUUCAAGAUACACAAAUGGGUCAUCCCCUUUUUCAUACUGAAGAGCACCCAGUUUCAUGUAGUCAGUCAUCUUGACCUUGCUCCCACUGGCUGAGCUAGGUCUAGAAGGUUGAAUAACUGGGGUUGUUGUUUCUGUAGGUGGUGGAGGUGGUGCAACAUUUUCUGUGGUAGGGUUUGCUGGAUUUGGAUAGUAGGGUGGGGGUGGAUACAUUGGUACUGUGAGUAUGGUGGGUAGGGCAUGUGUGUGGGAUAAGGGGUAAAGCUAGGGUAAUUCGAUGUACCUCCCAUCGAAUACCCGGGAUGUUGUGAGAAGUGUGGGUAGUAGGGUGGCUGAACAAAUUUCGAGGCCUGAGUGCCUCCUUGGGACUCUCCCAUACCUUCCUUUGACAUGCUAACUCCCAGACUGCCAUCCCUCCUCUGCUCUACAUCCAUAUCAUCCCCCAUGUCCUCUGAUAUUCCUCCCUGAACUGUUCCCCUCACUGAUCUGCUUCUUCCCAGAUCCAGAGACCUUCUAGGGUCUCUUGCUGCCCUUUCUCUGUUAGACCUACUAGACAUUGCCCUAGGCAAUGUAGGAGGACGUGCGCUCAUGCCCUCAUCCUCAGGUGGCACUCCAGUCAAUCGUGCAGAUCGACGAGUUCCUCUCAUCCUGUUUUCUGAAAAACAGCACAUAACAAACAAACAUUAGCACCAUAUAGUUCAUGUGGGAACACAUGAACCCACAUCACAUACAUCACAUAUCAUAGCAUAUCAGUAAUGCACAUGCAUAUUAUCAUGGCAUUUCACAUCAUCAUACAAGACAGGACUCCACAUCCUAUCCUUGUGGACAUGAUCUUUCCUAUUGUGCUUGACCUUCUAUAACAUCUAUGAGUCCGACACUCUAGGUCCGACCAUAUGAACCUAGGGCUCUGAUACCAUUCUGUAACGACCCGAAAAUCGGACCGUUACCGGCGCUAGGAUCCAGGUCGGCUUAAGGCCGCCGAGACCCGUAGCAAGCCUGACAUACAUCCUAUGAACCUGUCAAAUCCCACACAUGAUCAAACAUACUCAUAAACCUGUAAACUUUUCCUUUCCAUAAACCAAGCUCAACCUGUGUAUACUCAUAACAUAACAUAAACCACACACUGGAGCCCUCAUCCAAUGCUCCAAUGGGGUAUCAUAACAUACAUGAAUCAAGCUUGGUUGAACAUAAACAUCAUAAAAUAUUCUAUAGAUCAUGUAUCAAAAGGGAUUACUAUACAAACUCGGUCAAGCACAAUUUCUAAUCCUCAAUACAUCAUCAUUACAUAUCAUAACGGUAUAAGACAUUACAUUACAAUUUAAUCAUGUCCAUUGCUAGCUAUUACAUAACCGUGACUUUACUCUAUACGACUUUCUGCUCUAUCCUGCACCUGCAAGCCUGGGGGUUAAAGGGAGAGGGGUGAGCUAAAAGCCCAAUGAGUAGAACCAUAAAAACAUAUUAACAAACAUGUUCCAAUGAAAUGCAUCAUAACACAGACAAUUCACAUAAGGGUUGGGUGAACUUGUCACCAAAUAGUCCCAGCAUCAUUUGUGCCAGGCCGUAGCAUGGGGUCCUGGUCUUCCUAUCAUAUCA
rnacentral:lncRNA from 1 species